GCCUUGGUAGCUCAAUUGGCUAGAGCGUGGGACUUUUACUAAACGGAAAAUAAUCCGGAUUCUUCGAAAUCCCAAGGUUGCGGGUUCGACCCCCGCCUGAGGCG